GCGUUGUCCGGAUUAUUGGGCGUAAAGGGCGCGUAGGCGGGUAUUUAAGUCUGGUGUGAAAGAUCAGGCUCAACCCUGAGAGUGCAUCUGAAACUGGGUAUCUUGAGGACAGGAGAGGAAAGUGGAAUUCCACGUGUAGCGGUGAAAUGCGUAGAUAUGUGGAGGAACACCAGUGGCGAAGGCGACUUUCUGGACUGUACUGACGCUGAGGCGCGAAAGCGUGGGGAGCAAACAGGAUUAGAUACCCUGGUAGUCCACGCGGUAAACGAUGAGUGCUAGGUGUAGAGGGUAUCGACCCCUUCUGUGCCGCAGUUAACACAAUAAGCACUCCGCCUGGGGAGUACG
rnacentral:rRNA from 1 species